UACGGAGGGUGCAAGCGUUAUCCGGAUUCACUGGGCUUAAAGGGUGCGUAGGUGGGCAGUUAAGUCAGUGGUGAAAUCUCCGGGCUCAACCCGGAAACUGCCAUUGAUACUAUCUGUCUUGAAUAUCGUGGAGGUAAGCGGAAUAUGUCAUGUAGCGGUGAAAUGCUUAGAUAUGACAUAGAACACCGAUUGCGAAGGCAGCUUACUACCCGAAUAUUGACACUGAGGCACGAAAGCGUGGGGAUCAAACAGG
rnacentral:rRNA from 1 species